UUGGUAUGUACGAACAUGGCAAUAACAUGUUGUACAAUUAUCUAUGUGAAGUGUACUAUAAACUUGGCUUUAUUUUAUUGGACGUCAUUUUUUUGUUAUUUUCCUCUUGACACGCGUAUUUGCACUCAAAACAACUCACCAGCUAACAUGGAUCUUUGAAGUUCACUUUCUUUUUCACUGAUUCUUUCAAAUUAAAGUUUGUUAAUUGUAUUUGCUGAAAGGAAAAUUGGAUGAAAAUGACUAUAAACAAAAUAAUACUUAGCAACCAUCCAAACAAGUUGUUGAUGAAGAUGGAGAUACUGUUGUUCAAAUUUCGACAUACAGUCAUCAUCUGAAACAAAUUUUGAUUGGAGAUGGUGGUGGAAAUCAUUCUUCGCGUCUGGCUCAGUUGCAAUCUACAUAUUCUUCUACUCCGUCAACUAUCUUGUUAUCGAUCUCAAGAGCCUCAGUGGACCUGUUUCGACUAUGCUAUACUUAGGCUACUCACUUUUAAUGGCGCUUGCUGUUAUGCUAGCAACUGGUGCUAUAGGGUUCUUGACGUCUUUUUUCUUUGUGCAUUGUCUCUUCUCUUCCGUUAAAAUAAAUUGAAGAAAGUGACCUGUUUGAGUUCCAUUUUCCAUGCUAUUGAUGAUUAACAUGAAGUUCAGGUGGACACUAAUGUUAACCACUUGCAAAUAUUGCUAGCUUUUAUAGUAGACUACUUUAUUUCAAAUUUGUUGUCAUGUUGUUUCAUACAUUUUAAAGGAAAUAAGAUUAGUUACUGAGAAAUUAUGAAUGUGUGUGUAGUGUAAGUUUAAUUCUAGCGCUAGGAAUUUGCAAGCACAACAUAUGACUUCUCAGUUAAACAGAAAAACAAUGUGUAAAUAGACUUCCAUUGCUGUGUGAAGUCACAAACUUGGAAAUACAUUAACCAAAGAGCAAAGGGAAGCUAGAGUUUUAUAGUAUCACAAACACACACCAAAGAUAAGGAUUUCCCUGAUUAUAAUUUAUAUGAAUGUCAUCAACAUUGCUCAUAUUAAAAUGUCAAAAGUCCAAGUCUAAAUUUCAUCACCAGCUUCUGUAAAACAUACUUUGAGCUGAUAAUUCGAGAGUAUGGUUAUUAAUUCAUGGUGUAUAGAUUAAUUUUACUUUACAAGGUCUUGCAGCUUGAAUUAGGUUUUUUGAAUUUACUUAUGAAAGACGUAUGAGUUUUAACUUUAAGUACUAUAGAUUUGACUUAAUGAUAUUUUCAUAUUUUUAGUUAUAUUUUUUAUUCUGUUAUUUUACUUGUGAGUUACAUUUUUCGGGGCUAUUUGAGUGACCCAUAAUUUUGUGGUCGAAUGCCACUUAACCAUAAGGAGAGAGACAUCAACCACUUGACUCUAAUGAGAUGAAUUUUAUAGAAAAAGUAGUUCAAAAGAAGCCACAAAUUUAAAUAGAAAGAAUAGUCAAUGUCAAUUAGAGACAACUUUGUUGAACUCUUCCUUUCGAAACUUACCAUCAUAUAUGAAUUAUGUUAGUAUGAAUCUAUGUAUUUGUCAACCUUCUGAUGGAGGCAUAUAGUAUCUCUCAUAUAAUUUGCUAAUAACUUUUGGAACUAUCGAGAUUGUUCUUUGAAAAUGGAUUAUUGCAAGUUUUCUUAUAUAAUCUAUAAUAGUUCUGCUCAAGAGGAGGAAAGCCAGAAUAUUUUACAUUAUAAUUGACUCUGCCAAAUCUUAGGUUGUGGUGAUCUCACCCCGUGAUGAUGUUGUGGAUGCGGGACAUUAGUUGUAUUGUUGUGAGCAGGCAAACCGUGCAAACUGACUUUCCUUCUUGGAUUAUAAGGUUUGAAUAACCCACAUUGUGAGAGAAGUUGAAAAACAUGUAUCAAGUAAAUUCACCCUUUUAUUUAUAACAUUUCAGUUCUGUAUUCACACUUUCGACAUACAUUUAUUAUUUAGACGUGGGGUUGCUAGAGUUUUCCUACUACCUUUCGCUCGGGGGAGAUACUACUAUUUUUAUGCUAAAUAUUGAUUUUGACAUCUUAUUUGUUGAACUGUAAAACUCCACAAGAGAAAAACAUUUGAGAUGGAUGGUCAGAUGGUAGUAGUUGGUGUUGUUGGGUUUGUUAUGACAUUAUCCAAGGAAGAGACCAUUAUGAAGUACUGCUACAAAUGGGAAGCUAAUGAAAACUAAGGAAAUUCAGGCACAGUUUCUCGGAAAUUCAGGCACAGUUGUAGAAACCGAACAAGUAUGUUUGUGUCAACCAUGUGUUAACUCUCACAUGUAUCAAAUUUGAAUGUCAUCCCUUAUAUUUCGGGGUACCAUGGCUUGAAUAAGCUUUAGCUAUAUAUAAAAAAUGUAUUUUAAUAAUCAUGUGUUUCUCUGAAAUCUUAUUUACACCAACAUUCAUAUUAUCAGUUAAUUAUAUAAUAAGAGGUGAUGUAUGAAUUAGUUUUUAAUUGAUGUUUGCACCUCUUAGAGUUAAUUGAGCAUUGUAAGGAUAAUUUUACUGAUACUUGUAUGUCAUCUUCUUUUGUUGAGAAACAUGUAUGUGUUCUUUCAAAUUCACUGAUAUUGAUUAUUUAUGAAGUGAGUUUAUUGAUGA